GGUUAAGCGACUAAGCGUACACGGUGGAUGCCCUGGCAGUCAGAGGCGAUGAAGGACGUGCUAAUCUGCGAAAAGCGUCGGUAAGGUGAUAUGAACCGUUAUAACCGGCGAUGUCCGAAUGGGGAAACCCAGUGCAAUUCGUUGCACUAUCGUUAACUGAAUACAUAGGUUAACGAGGCGAACCGGGGGAACUGAAACAUCUAAGUACCCCGAGGAAAAGAAAUCAACCGAGAUUCCCCCAGUAGCGGCGAGCGAACGGGGAGCAGCCCAGAGUCUGAAUCAGCUUGUGUGUUAGUGGAACGGUCUGGAAAGUCCGACGGUACAGGGUGAUAGUCCCGUACACCAAAAUGCACAGGUUGUGAACUCGAAGAGUAGGGCGGGACACGUGGUAUCCUGUCUGAAUAUGGGGGGACCAUCCUCCAAGGCUAAAUACUCCUGACUGACCGAUAGUGAACCAGUACCGUGAGGGAAAGGCGAAAAGAACCCCGGCGAGGGGAGUGAAAAAGAACCUGAAACCGUGUACGUACAAGCAGUGGGAGCACCUUCGGGUGUGACUGCGUACCUUUUGUAUAAUGGGUCAGCGACUUAUAUUCUGUAGCAAGGUUAACCGUAUAGGGGAGCCGCAGGGAAACCGAGUCUUAACUGGGCGUUAAGUUGCAGGGUAUAGACCCGAAACCCGGUGAUCUAGCCAUGGGCAGGUUGAAGGUUGGGUAACACUAACUGGAGGACCGAACCGACUAAUGUUGAAAAAUUAGCGGAUGACUUGUGGCUGGGGGUGAAAGGCCAAUCAAACCGGGAGAUAGCUGGUUCUCCCCGAAAGCUAUUUAGGUAGCGCCUCGUGAACUCAUCUUCGGGGGUAGAGCACUGUUUCGGCUAGGGGGUCAUCCCGACUUACCAACCCGAUGCAAACUACGAAUACCGAAGAAUGUUAUCACGGGAGACACACGGCGGGUGCUAACGUCCGUCGUGAAGAGGGAAACAACCCAGACCGCCAGCUAAGGUCCCAAAGUCAUGGUUAAGUGGGAAACGAUGUGGGAAGGCACAGACAGCCAGGAUGUUGGCUUAGAAGCAGCCAUCAUUUAAAGAAAGCGUAAUAGCUCACUGGUCGAGUCGGCCUGCGCGGAAGAUGUAACGGGGCUAAACCAUGCACCGAAGCUGCGGCAGCGACACUAUGUGUUGUUGGGUAGGGGAGCGUUCUGUAAGCCUGCGAAGGUGACCUGUGAGGGUUGCUGGAGGUAUCAGAAGUGCGAAUGCUGACAUAAGUAACGAUAAAGCGGGUGAAAAGCCCGCUCGCCGGAAGACCAAGGGUUCCUGUCCAACGUUAAUCGGGGCAGGGUGAGUCGACCCCUAAGGCGAGGCCGAAAGGCGUAGUCGAUGGGAAACAGGUUAAUAUUCCUGUACUUGGUGUUACUGCGAAGGGGGGACGGAGAAGGCUAUGUUAGCCGGGCGACGGUUGUCCCGGUUUAAGCAUGUAGGCUGAUUGUCCAGGCAAAUCCGGAUAAUCAAGGCUGAGGUGUGAUGACGAGGCACUACGGUGCUGAAGUAACAAAUGCCCUGCUUCCAGGAAAAGCCUCUAAGCAUCAGGUAACAUCAAAUCGUACCCCAAACCGACACAGGUGGUCAGGUAGAGAAUACCAAGGCGCUUGAGAGAACUCGGGUGAAGGAACUAGGCAAAAUGGUGCCGUAACUUCGGGAGAAGGCACGCUGGUGUGUAGGUGAAGUCCCUGCGGAUGGAGCUGAGACCAGUCGAAGAUACCAGCUGGCUGCAACUGUUUAUUAAAAACACAGCACUGUGCAAACACGAAAGUGGACGUAUACGGUGUGACGCCUGCCCGGUGCCGGAAGGUUAAUUGAUGGGGUUAUCCGUAAGGAGAAGCUCUUGAUCGAAGCCCCGGUAAACGGCGGCCGUAACUAUAACGGUCCUAAGGUAGCGAAAUUCCUUGUCGGGUAAGUUCCGACCUGCACGAAUGGCGUAAUGAUGGCCAGGCUGUCUCCACCCGAGACUCAGUGAAAUUGAACUCGCUGUGAAGAUGCAGUGUACCCGCGGCAAGACGGAAAGACCCCGUGAACCUUUACUAUAGCUUGACACUGAACAUUGAGCCUUGAUGUGUAGGAUAGGUGGGAGGCUUUGAAGCGUGGACGCCAGUCUGCGUGGAGCCAACCUUGAAAUACCACCCUUUAAUGUUUGAUGUUCUAACGUUGGCCCCUUACCGGGGUUGCGGACAGUGUCUGGUGGGUAGUUUGACUGGGGCGGUCUCCUCCCAAAGCGUAACGGAGGAGCACGAAGGUUAGCUAAUCCUGGUCGGACAUCAGGAGGUUAGUGCAAUGGCAUAAGCUAGCUUGACUGCGAGCGUGACGGCGCGAGCAGGUGCGAAAGCAGGUCAUAGUGAUCCGGUGGUUCUGAAUGGAAGGGCCAUCGCUCAACGGAUAAAAGGUACUCCGGGGAUAACAGGCUGAUACCGCCCAAGAGUUCAUAUCGACGGCGGUGUUUGGCACCUCGAUGUCGGCUCAUCACAUCCUGGGGCUGAAGUAGGUCCCAAGGGUAUGGCUGUUCGCCAUUUAAAGUGGUACGCGAGCUGGGUUUAGAACGUCGUGAGACAGUUCGGUCCCUAUCUGCCGUGGGCGCUGGAGAAUUGAGGGGGGCUGCUCCUAGUACGAGAGGACCGGAGUGGACGCAUCACUGGUGUUCGGGUUGUCAUGCCAAUGGCACUGCCCGGUAGCUAAAUGCGGAAGAGAUAAGUGCUGAAAGCAUCUAAGCACGAAACUUGCCCCGAGAUGAGUUCUCCCUGAGACUUUAAGUCUCCUGAAGGAACGUUGAAGACGACGACGUUGAUAGGCCGGGUGUGUAAGCGCAGCGAUGCGUUGAGCUAACCGGUACUAAUGAACCGUGAGGCUUAACCUU
rnacentral:rRNA from 2 species